UUAACUGAAACCAAAAAGAGGUAUAUUACUGUUAAUAAUAAAACUGAAGAUUUAUAUUCCAGUUAAG
rnacentral:tRNA from 1 species